rnacentral:rRNA from 1 species
UACGGGGGGGGCAAGCGUUGUUCGGAAUUACUGGGCGUAAAGGGCGCGUAGGCGGCCAACUAAGUCGGAUGUGAAAUCCCCAGGCUUAACCGGGGAACUGCAUCUGAUACUGGAUGGCUUGAAUUCGGGAGAGGGAUGCAGAAUUCCAGGUGUAGCGGUGAAAUGCGUAGAUAUCUGGAGGAAUACCGGUGGCGAAGGCGGCAUCCUGGACCGGCAUUGACGCUGAUGAGCGAAAGCUAGGGGAGCAAACGGG